rnacentral:rRNA from 1 species
CCUACGGGUGGCAGCAGUGAGGAAUAUUGGUCAAUGGACGAGAGUCUGAACCAGCCAAGUAGCGUGAAGGAUGACUGCCCUAUGGGUUGUAAACUUCUUUUAUAUGGGAAUAAAAUGUUCCACGUGUGGGAUUUUGUAUGUACCAUAUGAAUAAGGAUCGGCGAACUCCGUGCCAGCAGCCGCGGUAAUACGGAGGAUCCGAGCGUUAUCCGGAUUUAUUGGGUUUAAAGGGAUCGUAGGUCGAUUGUUAAGUCAGUCGUGAAAUUUUGAGGCUCAACCGUAAAAUUGAAGUUGAAACUGGCAGUCUUGAGUAGAGGAGAGGUGUGCGGAAUGCGUGGUGUAGCGGUGAAAUGCUUAGAUAUCACGAAGAACUCCGAUUGCGAAGGCAGCAUACUGGAGUGCAACUGACGCUGAGGCUCGAAAGUGUGGGUAUCAAACAGGAUUAGAUACCCGAGUAGUG